CCUACGGGUGGCUGCAGUCAAGAAUAUUCCUCAAUGGCCGAAAGGCUGAAGGAGCGACGCCGCGUGAAGGAUGAAGGCCCUUGGGUUGUAAACUUCUUUUCUCUGGGAAGAACAAAUGACGGUACCAGAGGAAUAAGGGGCUGCUAAACUCGUGCCAGCAGCAGCGGUAAUACGAGUGCCCCAAACGUUAUCCGGAUUUAUUGGGCGUAAAGCGUGCGUAGGCGGUUUGUCGCAUCUCCUGUAAAAUCUUCAGGCUUAACCUGGAAUCUGCGGGAGAUAUGGGCAAACUAGAGACUGGAAGAGGCAAGCGGAAUUGCUGGUGUAGGGGUUAAAUCCGUUAAUAUCAGCAGGAACGCCAAAAGUGAAAACAGCUUGCUAGGACAGUUCUGACGCUAAGGCACGAAAGCGUGGGGAGCGAAUAGGAUUAGAUACCCUAGUAGUC
rnacentral:rRNA from 1 species